AGAGUUUGAUCAUGGCUCAGAACGAUCGCUGGCGGCGCGUUUUAAGCAUGCAAGUCGAGCGGCAAGGGCCUUCGGGCCCCUAGAGCGGCGGACGGGUGAGUAACACGUGGACAAUCUGCCCCCCGGCCCGGGAUAGCCCAGGGAAACCUGGAUUAAUACCGGAUGAGACGGGACCCGCGAUGGCGGGACCCGGGAAAGGCGCUGCGGCGCCGCCGGGGGAUGAGUCUGCGUCCCAUUAGCUGGACGGCGGGGUAACGGCCCACCGUGGCGACGAUGGGUAGCCGGCCUGAGAGGGUGGACGGCCACAUUGGAACUGAGACACGGUCCAGACUCCUACGGGAGGCAGCAGCUAAGAAUCUUCCGCAAUGGGCGAAAGCCUGACGGAGCGACGCCGCGUGAACGAAGAAGGCCGUGAGGUUGUAAAGUUCUUUUCGGGAGGGGGAACAACCGUGGCAGGGAAUGGCCGCGGGAUGACGUGAAUCCCGGAAUAAGCCCCGGCUAACUACGUGCCAGCAGCCGCGGUAACACGUAGGGGGCGAGCGUUGUUCGGAAUCAUUGGGCGUAAAGGGCGUGCAGGCGGUCGUGCAAGUCCGGCGUGAAAGACCCCGGCCCAACCGGGGGGACGCGCUGGAAACUGCAGGGCUUGAGUACAGGAGGGGAUGCCGGAAUUCCAGGUGUAGGGGUGAAAUCUGUAGAUAUCUGGAAGAACACCAAUGGCGAAGGCAGGCAUCUGGCCAUGUACUGACGCUGAGACGCGAAGGUGCGGGGAGCAAACAGGUUUAGAUACCCUGGUAGUCCGCACAGUAAACGAUGUGCACCAGGUGGCGGGGGGUCGACCCCCGGUACCGUAGCUAACGCAUUAAGUGCACCGCCUGGGGAGUAUGCUCGCAAGGGUGAAACUCAAAUGAAUUGACGG
rnacentral:rRNA from 1 species